CCUACGGGUGGCUGCAGUGGGGAAUAUUUGACAAUGGGCGCAAGCCUGACCCAGCAACGCCGCGUGAAGGAAGGAGGCUUUCGGGUUGUAAACUUCUUUUCUCAUGGACGAAGCAAGUGACGGUACCUGAGGAAUAAGCCACGGCUAACUACGUGCCAGCAGCCGCGGUAAUACGUCGGUGGCAAGCGUUAUCCGGAUUUACUGGGUGUAAAGGACGUGGAGGCGGGACUGCAAGUCAGAUGUGAAAACCACGGGCUCAACCUGUGGCCUGCAUUUGAAACUGUAGUUCUUGAGUACUGGAGAGGCAGACGGAAUUCCUAGUGUAGCAGUGAAAUGCGUAGAUAUUAGGAGGAACACCAGUGGCGAAGGCGGUCUGCUGGACAGCAACUGACGCUGAGGCGCGAAAGCGUGGGGAGCAAACAGGAUUAGAUACCCGAGUAGUC
rnacentral:rRNA from 1 species